rnacentral:rRNA from 1 species
AGCAUGGGAUAAUGGAAUAGGACCCUGUCCUCCUAUUUUCAGUUGGUUUUGGCAGCGCGAGGACUAGGGUAAUGAUUAAUAGGGAUAGUUGGGGGCAUUAAUAUUUAAUUGUCAGAGGUGAAAUUCUUGGAUUUAUGAAAGAUUAACUUCUGCGAAAGCAUCUGCCAAGGAUGUUUUCAUUAAUCAAGAACGAAAGUUAGGGGAUCGAAGACGAUCAGAUACCGUCGUAGUCUUAACCAUAAACGAUGCCGACCAGCGAUUAGGAGACGUUGAAUACAAAACACCACCAUCGGCGCGGUCGUCCUUGGCGUUCGUGUUCACGCACGAGCGCGAGGGCGGUUUAGCCCGGUGGCACCGGUGAAUGACUCCCUAGCG